UACAGAGGGGGCAAGCGUUGUUCGGAAUUACUGGGCGUAAAGGGCGCGUAGGCGGCCUUCUAAGUCGAACGUGAAAUCCCCGGGCUCAACCCGGGAACUGCGUCCGAUACUGGAAGGCUUGAAUCCGGGAGAGGGAUGCAGAAUUCCAGGUGUAGCGGUGAAAUGCGUAGAUAUCUGGAGGAACACCGGUGGCGAAGGCGGCAUCCUGGACCACGACUGACGCUGAGUGAGCGAAAGCCAGGGGAGCAAACGGG
rnacentral:rRNA from 1 species